UGACCUUUAUCCCUAACUCGUGAACAAGCCGUCGCCGCACACCUGCUCUGCCUCUCCGUCUCUGUCUCUCUCCCUCAAACCCGACGGCGGCACUGGUUUCUCUCCGGCGAGCAUCUCCCUGCCCCUUGGCCCUACCCAUGUACCCCGUGGUCGUGGGAAAUUCUUCGCCACACGCCGGCUCUUCCGUUGGAUCUCUUUUCCCCAACCUCGACGGCGCCAGGGUUUGCUCUCCGACGAGAUGUGCUCCUUUGAUCUUGAGAUGCCACGGGUGCAUCUUCUCUUCUUAUGGCCCGGAGGUCAUGGCCGUGUUUAGAUUCGCAUCUUAUUCUUUGGAUUUGAGUUCAUUUGCCUCACCACGAACCUUUCUGCAGGAUCCAUGUUUCAGACGUUAGAGCCGAUCCCUGAUGCAUUUCCCGUGGAGUCGCGGGAUUUCAUGAGCAUCGCCGAUACCCAGCUGGGCCGCGGCGGCGAGGGCACCCUCUGUGCGGGGACGCCGGCUUAGGUUUUCUCAGAAGCCACCAGCGGCUGAACCAUGAGCGGCUGUCCUCCAUGGAUGAGUUUGCCGAAGCGCGGCAAGGUGGACCAUACAGGUAAUGAAGUGCUCCAAAUCUUCCAGUCUUGGUAUCGUCGAAGCUGAAAUUUGCAACGCUGCUGAGCUUGGAAGCGGUGGGCAAAGUGGUGGAUUCCCCACUGAAGCCGUACGGAUGAUGCAAUAAUUGAAGAUAUGAAGAAGGAUUACAUGGUCGCGCAAGAGAUCAAGGAGAAUAACAAAUAAGCUUUAUGCAAUGGAUAAUUUGCAAGGCAAGGUUCUCCAUGCUUGUAUGUACGUUGCUGCUUUUGGAAUUUGGCAGUUGCUUACUGGUCAUGUUUGGUGAUUAAUGCUGAAUUCCUAGAUACAUUUUGUAAACAUUUGGAUUUGUCCAGGCGCAUGCCUGUAUGUACUAGAUGUUUACUUGUUUUCACUUAUCUGCAGAAGUGGUACGUUCCCUAUGAGAUUAAAUUAACUAGGUCCUAAUAAUGUAUUAUGUAAAAAUGUAUAUUUUAAUGGAGGUGUAUUUUCUGGUCA